GUGAAUGUCAGAGCAAAAAAACAAGUUAUGAGGUAGAAGGCAUUGUCCGGAGAGUGAGAUUAUGAUGAAAGGCAGCAAAGUCUCGAUCUCGUCAGGAAGACCCUGAGCAGCUGCGUUUGAAACAGAAAGCCAAAGAGAUGCAGGAGUUGUUUCAGUUGAGAUCGAAGGAAGCUAACCUGAUGACACUGGCAAUUGUCGGCCCCAGGAAGAUGAGGAAAAUGGAGGCUGCAGCCGCUGGAGCUGAGAACAUGGGCUCUGGGUCAUGUCCCUCUGCAUCUGGUAGUGCUAGUUCUGGAGCGUCCAGACAAUUUACCCGCCAGAGCAUCACUCGUGUCGACCCCAGGGACAUGCUCUUCUGUCUGGAGAAUGAGAGAGAGACCAGUCACUCCCACUUCAUCGACAGAAGCUUCCUUAAAAAGACACCCCAUAGAGACAGACCGGAGAGCUGUCACUCUCGCAUCCAUUAUAGCAACUCCCUCAAAUAGAGAGCCCAGAC